rnacentral:rRNA from 1 species
GUGCCAGCAGCCGCGGUAAUACGGAGGGUGCAAGCGUUGUCCGGAAUCACUGGGCGUAAAGGGUGCGCAGGCGGGGCAGCAAGUCGGAGGUGAAAGCCCGUGGCUCAACCACGGAAGUGCCUUCGAAACUGUUGCUCUUGAGUCCCGGCGAGGUUGCCGGAAUUCGUGGUGUAGCGGUGAAAUGCGUAGAUAUCACGAGGAACACCGGCGGCGAAAGCGACUGGCUGGAUCGGGACUGACGCUGAGGCACGAGAGCGUGGGCAGCGAACAGGAUUAGAUACCCCGGUAGUCC